GUGAGGAAUAUUGGUCAAUGGGCGUUAGCCUGAACCAGCCAAGUAGCGUGAAGGAUGAAGGCUCUAUGGGUCGUAAACUUCUUUUAUAUAAGAAUAAAGUGCAGUAUGUAUACUGUUUUGUAUGUAUUAUAUGAAUAAGGAUCGGCUAACUCCGUGCCAGCAGCCGCGGUAAUACGGAGGAUCCGAGCGUUAUCCGGAUUUAUUGGGUUUAAAGGGAGCGUAGGUGGACUGGUAAGUCAGUUGUGAAAGUUUGCGGCUCAACCGUAAAAUUGCAGUUGAUACUGUCAGUCUUGAGUACAGUAGAGGUGGGCGGAAUUCGUGGUGUAGCGGUGAAAUGCUUAGAUAUCACGAAGAACUCCGAUUGCGAAGGCAGCUCACUGGACUGCAACUGACACUGAUGCUCGAAAGUGUGGGUAUCAAACAGGA
rnacentral:rRNA from 1 species